rnacentral:rRNA from 1 species
GACGAACGCUGGCGGCGUGCCUAAUACAUGCAAGUCGAACGAACCGCGACUGAGUGCUUGCACUUGGUCAAGGUGAGUGGCGAACGGGUGAGUAACACGUGGGUAACCUACCUCAUAGUGGGGGAUAACAGUCGGAAACGACUGCUAAUACCGCAUAGGACAUAGGAUCACAUGAUCCAGUGAGGAAAGGUGGCGCAAGCUAUCGCUAAGAGAUGGACCCGCGGUGCAUUAGCUAGUUGGUAGGGUAAAGGCCUACCAAGGCGAUGAUGCAUAGCCGACCUGAGAGGGUGAUCGGCCACAUUGGAACUGAGACACGGCCCAAACUCCUACGGGAGGCAGCAGUAGGGAAUCUUCCGCAAUGGACGCAAGUCUGACGGAGCAACGCCGCGUGAGUGAAGAAGGUCUUCGGAUCGUAAAGCUCUGUUGUUAGAGAAGAACAGCGCAUAGAGUAACUGCUAUGCGUGUGACGGUAUCUAACCAGAAAGCCACGGCUAACUACGUG